GCAGAAAUGGUGUUAAUGGUAACAUGCCUGCCUUCCAAGCAGGAUUUGUCGGUUCGAAUCCGGUUUUCUGCA
rnacentral:tRNA from 1 species